ensembl:lncRNA
AUCCCGGGGAGACCCCAGGCAGGGUCACCGUACGAGGCGCGGCUGGCCUUGCGUCUUGGGCGCGUGAGGGGCGUGAGGCUCGGCCUGACCGGAGCCCACUCCGGUCAGAAGAGAGAGGAAUCGCGGGCUGCGCCAAGCUCGGAGAGGUGAGGACCUUGGUCUCAGGAGGGGUGACGCAGCAGUUCAGAAGAGGAGGAUUCCCAGGCCCUGUCAGGAGUCAAUGA